rnacentral:rRNA from 1 species
CGCCAGACUCCUACGGGAGGCAGCAGUGGGGAAUAUUGCACAAUGGGGGAAACCCUGAUGCAGCGACGCCGCGUGAGUGAAGAAGUAUUUCGGUAUGUAAAGCUCUAUCAGCAGGGAAGAAAAUGACGGUACCUGACUAAGAAGCCCCGGCUAACUACGUGCCAGCAGCCGCGGUAAUACGUAGGGAGCAAGCGUUAUCCGGAUUUAUUGGGUGUAAGGGGUGCGUAGACGGAGAAGCAAGUUAGUUGUGAAAUCCCUCGGCUUAACUGAGGAACUGCAACUAAAACUACUUCCCUUGAGUACUGGAGAGGAAAGUGGAAUUCCUAGUGUAGCGGUGAAAUGCGUAGAUAUUAGGAGGAACACCAGUGGCGAAGGCGACUUUCUGGACAGUAACUGACGUUGAGGCACGAAAGUGUGGGGAGCAAACAGGAUUAGAUACCCCAGUAC